rnacentral:misc_RNA from 1 species
UGCAAGACUGACAGUUGAUUUCGCGAGGAGUCGGCCGCUACAUGGUAAAUUUUCGUCUCGUAUCCGCGUGUUUGACUGACUGGCGAACCUGUUGCAUUUUCACGGUCAGCCUAGCCUAGCUACCGGUAUUCGAGUGCAGUGACUUUGGUGGUAAUUAGUAUGUUUUAAAUAAUGUCAGACUCGCAGGAAUUUGAAAAUAAGAUGGACGUUAACGCAUCUAGUACUUCCGUGACUCCAAGAACACCUCCGAAUUGCGCUAGGUGUCGGAAUCACCGAAAAAAAGUCGCGCUAAAGGGACAUAAGCGCUAUUGUCCAUAUCGCUUGUGCAAGUGCGAAAAGUGCAGGUUAACCACAGAACGACAACGAGUUAUGGCUAUGCAGACAGCGCUCAGAAGAGCACAAGCUCAGGACGAGGCCAUGUUAAGGAGCACUUCCACAAAUCCAGACGACAUGAAUAUGAUUCCUUUGGCUCAACACAGCCCACCUCAAAUUACCUCCAUGAAGCGACACGUAGACUGUGAUUCUUCCGAUUCAGAUCAACCUCCAUGUAAGCUAGUGAAGAUGACAUCUACUCCUUUAGCGCAACAAAGUCCUCCUAUUAUAAGUCCAUUAAAACGGCGUUUACCAGAUUGUGAUUAUUCUUCUUCCUCUCAUUGUGCUGAUCAAAACUCCAAUAAGGCCAUGAAGUUAACUCCAAACAGUGAAAUUCCUUCCACCACUGUUAACAUCAGUUCAAUGAGCGAGUGUCACUCAUCUUAUUCUGAAUUUAAUAGAGAACACCAAAGUUCAGACCUUCUAGAAGACUGCCAAAAAUUACUAGAAAGGUUUAAGUACCCCUGGGAAAUGAUGCCGUUAAUGUAUGCCAUCCUCAAAGAUGCGAGGGCGGAUCUGGAAGAGGCAUCACGGAGAAUAGAUGAAGGAAAGAGGGUGGUGAAUGAAUACUCAAGAAUACACAACUUGAAUAUGUACGAUGGCGUGGAGCUUCGAAAUUCGACCCAUCUGAAGACAACCACUCAAGACCGAAGAACUCCAUUCAACAACCCAACGUUCAAGUCGGUGAAUCUGCAGUUUAAAUGCAACGUUCUCAUCUAAUCUUCAAAGUUCAACCGCCAAAACCUUAUUUAUUUUUGACAAAAAGCCUACCUGUUUUUUAUGUUUCUAAUUUUUUGCUAAGUUAAGUUAAAAAGACUCUAAAUAUACUCUUUGUGUGGCUAGAAGACAUAGAUGUCUGAAGUAUUAACGUAUUAACUAGCCUUAAAACUUUUUUCGUCAUUAUUCAAGUAGUCAUAUUUGAAAUAGAUCUCUUAGGCUAUGUGUAAUAUAACUUCGUGAAUAAGCAAGUGCAAUUUUGAAGAAUUUGGAAAACAUAUUGAAUAUUCAACUUUUGUAGAUGGUCAGACCAUAGAAACUCUUCUAAACUUAUGUC